rnacentral:rRNA from 1 species
AAAGUCCCCUUCGGGGGGCAAGUAGAGUGGCGCACGGGUGAGUAACACGUAGGUAAUCUACCUUCGGAUGGGGAAUAACAAUCGGAAACGAUUGCUAAUACCGCAUAAUGCAGCGGCACCUAAUGGUGACAGUUGUUAAAGCGGGGGAUCGAAAGACCUCGCGUCUGAAGAGGAGCCUGCGGCGGAUUAGCUAGUUGGUAAGGUAAUGGCUUACCAAGGCUACGAUCCGUAACCGGCCUGAGAGGGCGGUCGGUCACACUGACACUGACAUACGGGUCAGACUCCUACGGGAGGCAGCAGUCGGGAAUUUUGGGCAAUGGGCGAAAGCCUGACCCAGCAACGCCGCGUGAAGGAUGAAAUCCCUCGGGAUGUAAACUUCGCAAGAACGGGAAGAAUAAGUAGGGGACAAUACCCCCUAUGAUGACGGUACCGUUUGUAAGCUCCGGCUAACUCCGUGCCAGCAGCCGCGGUAAUACGGGGGGAGCAAGCGUUGUUCGGAUUUACUGGGCGUAAAGGGCGCGUAGGCGGUCAGCACAAGUCAGUUGUGAAAUCUCCGAGCUUAACUCGGAAAGGUCAACUGAUACUGUGCGACUAGAGUGCAGAAGGGGCAACUGGAAUUCUCGGUGUAGCGGUGAAAUGCGUAGAUAUCGAGAGGAACACCUGCGGCGAAGGCGGGUUGCUGGGCUGACACUGACGCUGAUGCGCGAAAGCUAGGGGAGCGAACGGGAUUAGAUACCCCGGUAGUCCUAGCCUUAAACGAUGAAUGCUUGGUGUCUGGGGUUAUAAAGUCCCCGGGUGCCGUCGCUAACGC